rnacentral:rRNA from 1 species
GUUUGAUCAUGGCUCAGAACGUACGCUGGCGGCACGCCUAACACAUGCAAGUCGAACGAAGUAGCAAUACUUAGUGGCAGACGGGUGAGUAACAUGUAGGUAUCUGCCCUUUGGCCUGGAAUAACACGAGGAAACUUGUGCUAAUACCGGAUAAGUCUUUACGGAGAAAGCUUUAUGCACCAUUGGAUGAGCCUGCACUUGAUUAGUUUGUUGGUGGGGUAAUGGCCUACCAAGACUGUGAUCAAUAGCUGAUUUGAGAGGAUGAUCAGCCACAUUGGGACUGAGACACGGCCCAAACUCCUACGGGAGGCAGCAGUGGGGAAUCUUGCACAAUGGAGGAAACUCUGAUGCAGCGAUGCCGCGUGAGUGAAGAAGGCCUUUGGGUUGUAAAGCUCUUUCGUCGGGGAAGAAAAUGACUGUACCCGAAUAAGAAGGUCCGGCUAACUUCGUGCCAGCAGCCGCGGUAAUACGAAGGGACCUAGCGUAGUUCGGAAUUACUGGGCUUAAAGAGUUCGUAGGUGGUUGAAAAAGUUGGUGGUGAAAUCCCAGAGCUUAACUCUGGAACUGCCAUCAAAACUUUUCAGCUAGAGUAUGAUAGAGGAAAGCAGAAUUUCUAGUGUAGAGGUGAAAUUCGUAGAUAUUAGAAAGAAUACCAAUUGCGAAGGCAGCUUUCUGGAUCAUUACUGACACUGAGGAACGAAAGCAUGGGUAGCGAAGAGGAUUAGAUACCCUCGUAGUCCAUGCCGUAAACGAUGUGUGUUAGACGUUGGAAAUUUAUUUUCAGUGUCGCAGCGAAAGCGAUAAACACACCGCCUGGGGAGUACGACCGCAAGGUUAAAACUCAAAUGAAUUGACGGGGACCCGCACAAGUAGUGGAGCAUGUGGUUUAAUUCGAAGAUACGCGCAGAACCUUACCAACACUUGACAUGUUCGUCGCGACUUUAAGAGAUUAGAGUUUUCGGUUCGGCCGGACGAAACACAGGUGCUGCAUGGCUGUCGUCAGCUCGUGUCGUGAGAUGUUGGGUUAAGUCCCGCAACGAGCGCAACCCUCACUUUUAGUUGCCAUCAUUUAGUUGGGCACUCUGAAAGAACUGCCAGUGAUAAGCUGGAGGAAGGUGGGGAUGACGUCAAGUCCUCAUGGCCCUUACGUGUUGGGCUACACACGUGCUACAAUGGUAUCUACAACAGGAAGCAAGACGGCGACGUUAAGCAAAUCCUUAAAAGAUACCUCAGUUCGGAUUGCACUCUGCAACUCGAGUGCAUGAAGCUGGAAUUACUAGUAAUCGUGGAUCAGCGUGCCACGGUGAAUGCGUUCCCGGGUCUUGUACACACCGCCCGUCACACCAUGGGAGUUGGUUCUACCUUAAGGCAAGGUUUUAAACCCUUGACCACGGUAUAGUCAGCGACUGGGGUGAAGUCGUAACAAGGUAACCGUA